AAAUUCCCAUGGAUUUGGAACCCUAGGAGCACAAUCGAAAGGGGAUAAUCAAUCACUGAGAUGAAGGAGCUUCUUCCAUGGGAGAGAGACCUCGAAGGUAAUCCCAACAAGAAUCACUACAAGACGAACAUCAUGGGAGCAGAAAUCAAGGCAAAGAACAAGCAAAGAGGGAAACCAGAACACGUUAAUGAGGCCCAGGUGAGACAGAACAUAAUACAAAAUUCUAUAUUUCAUUGCAACUUACAAGUUUAAUACUCAAAUUUCUGAUGAUUGUGUGGCCCUAUGCUUUAUAAAUUACUAUACUUUGGACCCACCAAUGCUUAUCUGCUUUGCUUUGUUUAAAACGUCCAAUAUAGUACCUAUGGUAAACCGUAAAAUAUACUUUAGAGUCCGCAUUCUCAGAUUUUGCCCUCUUCUUCCUCUCUUGCUCUGAUUGUUACCACAUCCACCCUUCUUUUACAGCCACCAUCGAACCCUCUCUCUGUCUUUUGCCCUUUUCUCAGAAUAGAGCGAUCGCCUUGAUUAUGAAGCCUCUAUCUUGAGUCUCUAUAGCCUAUAACUCAUGGUUGUUUCUCCGAUUCUACUCUCUAUAGACCUCUUUUUGAAUUUUUCAGUUCCAAGUUUCACAUUGGUUCAAAUCCAAUGCUCAACUUGCGGGAGGUGUUAAAGAUAUUUAGCAUUCCAUUACGGUUUACUAUAGAUACCAUAUUUGAUCUUUUAUUAAAGGCAAAUAUCUAGAUAUUUAUCUUCCAUUACCGUUUACCAUAAGUACCAUAUUUGAUAUUCUAUUGUAGACCAAUAUCUUGUAUCCAUUUAUACCUUUAUAAUUUAUUUGAUGAUUAUAAAUAGAGAAUUUCACCACCAUUUAGGUGGGAUGAUUUUAGCAAA